CCUACGGGUGACUGCAGUGGGGAAUAUUGCACAAUGGGGGAAACCCUGAUGCAGCGACGCCGCGUGAGUGAAGAAGUAUUUCGGUACGUAAAGCUCUAUCAGCAGGGAAGAAAAUGAUGGUACCUGACUAAGAAGCCCCGGCUAACUACGUGCCAGCAGCCGCGGUAAUACGUAGGGGGCAAGCGUUAUCCGGAUUUACUGGGUGUAAAGGGAGCGUAGACGGCAGCGCAAGUCUGGAGUGAAAUCCCAUGGCUUAACCAUGGAACUGCUUUGGAAACUGUGCAGCUAGAGUGCAGGAGAGGUAAGCGGAAUUCCUAGUGUAGCGGUGAAAUGCGUAGAUAUUAGGAGGAACACCAGUGGCGAAGGCGGCUUACUGGACUGUAACUGACGUUGAGGCUCGAAAGCGUGGGGAGCAAACAGGAUUAGAUACCCCAGUAGUC
rnacentral:rRNA from 1 species